rnacentral:rRNA from 1 species
AAUUGCCGUUGAAACUGGUUCUCUUGAGUGUAGAUGAGGUGGGUGGAAUUUCGUGUGUAGCGGUGAAAUGCUUAGAUAUCACGAAGAACUCCAAUUGCGUAGGCAGCUCACUGGGCUACAACUGACGCUGAGGCACGAAGGUGCGGGGAUCAAACAGGAUUAGAUACCCUGGGUAGUCCGCACAGUAAACGAUGAAUACUAGCUGUUGGCGAUACACUGCCAGUGGCACAGCGAAAGCGUUAAGUAUUCCACCUGGGGAGUACGUUCGCAAGAAUGAAACUCAAAGGAAUUGACGGGGGCCCGCACAAGCGGAGGAACAUGUGGUUUAAUUCGAUGAUACGCGAGGAACCUUACCCGGGCUUGAAUUGCAUCUGAAUACAGCGGAAACGUUGUAGCUAGCAAUAGCAGAUGUGAAGGUGCUGCAUGGUUGUCGUCAGCUCGUGCCGUGAGGUGUCGGCUUAAGUGCCAUAACGAGCGCAACCCUCAUCAUUAGUUACUAACAGGUCAUGGUGAGGACUCUAAUGAGACUGCCGGCGUAAGCUGUGAGGAAGGUGGGGAAGACGUCAAAUCAGCACGGCCCUU